rnacentral:rRNA from 1 species
AGUCGAGCGGUAGAGAGAAGCUUGCUUCUCUUGAGAGCGGCGGACGGGUGAGUAAUGCCUAGGAAUCUGCCUGGUAGUGGGGGAUAACGUUCGGAAACGGACGCUAAUACCGCAUACGUCCUACGGGAGAAAGCAGGGGACCUUCGGGCCUUGCGCUAUCAGAUGAGCCUAGGUCGGAUUAGCUAGUUGGUGGGGUAAUGGCUCACCGAGGCGACGAUCCGUAACUGGUCUGAGAGGAUGAUCAGUCACACUGGAACUGAGACACGGUCCAGACUCCUACGGGAGGCAGCAGUGGGGAAUAUUGGACAAUGGGCGAAAGCCUGAUCCAGCCAUGCCGCGUGUGUGAAGAAGGUCUUCGGAUUGUAAAGCACUUUAAGUUGGGAGGAAGGGCAGUUGCCUAAUACGUAACUGUUUUGACGUUACCGACAGAAUAAGCACCGGCUAACUCUGUGCCAGCAGCCGCGGUAAUACAGAGGGUGCAAGCGUUAAUCGGAAUUACUGGGCGUAAAGCGCGCGUAGGUGGUUUGUUAAGUUGGAUGUGAAAUCCCCGGGCUCAACCUGGGAACUGCAUUCACAACUGACUGACUAGAGUAUGGUAGAGGGUGGUGGAAUUUCCUGUGUAGCGGUGAGAUGCG